GUCCAUAGGAAAGCAUUCACAAUGCAUGCGCAUUCAGCUAAAGAGGAGGAGAAGAGGGAGGAGAGGAGGAGGAGAGCUCCCCGCCCGGCGCUGGAGAAAGAGGUAAAUUUAACCCCUUCCUCUCCCUAGAGCCCGGCGGGCACCCUCAGGGCACUAUAGUGCCAGGAAAACGAGUACUAUAGUGGUCCUUUAACGAUAAAUAUUAUCAGACUGAUAAAUACAGUUUCAUAGAAUUCUGUUUUCUACAGGCCAAAAAAAUAAUAAAAUAUGGUGAUAAGAUCUUGUUGAAGGUAUGAGUCUUCUCAAGUGCCAAGCUGAAUAUUUUUGAAUUGCAUUACCAUUUACCAUAGAGGUACUGUUACUUUUAAUUCAUCGUCACUGCCAAUGGCGUACACACAAUCCAAAUGGCCC